AUUGAACGCUGGCGGCAGGCUUAACACAUGCAAGUCGAACGAGUGGCGGACGGGUGAGUAAUGCCUGGGAAACUGGCUUAUGGAGGGGGAUAACGACGGGAAACUGUAGCUAAUACCGCGUACCAUAGGAUGAGCCCAGAUGGGAUUAGGUAGUUGGUGGGGUAAUGGCCCACCAAGGCGACGAUCUCUAGCUGGUCUGAGAGGAUGACCAGGCACACGGGAACUGAGACACGGUCCAGACGCCGCCGGGAGGCAGCAUGGGGGAAUAUUGCACAAGUGGCGAAAGCCUGAUGCAGUCAUGCCGAGUGGAUGAAGAAGGCAGUCGGGUUGUAAAGUACUUUCAGCGGGGAGGCGUGACCCGCAGAAGAAGCACCGGCUAACUCCGUGCCAGCAGCCGCGGUAAUAC
rnacentral:rRNA from 1 species